UGCUACCGCCAUGCCACCCUGAACACGCCCGAUCUCUUCUGAUCUCAGAAGCUAAGCAGGGUCGAGUCUGGUUAGUACUUGGAUGGGAGACCACCUAGGAUUACCAGGUACUGUAUGUA
rnacentral:rRNA from 1 species